rnacentral:piRNA from 1 species
UUAUCAGGUUCUGUGGAAAAA